UUUUUACACGGUUGGUACAUAUUUGCCACUGAUGAAAAUUAGUACCAAAUUAGUAAAUUAUAUUUAAUUUAUAAUUCUUUUAACUUAAAGCUCCGAUUUUUUUUUUUCUAAUAAAGCUCCGAUAUUUAAAGCAUCAAGGCGACAAAUUGUUAAGAAACAUAUUUUUUUUUGCAGAACUGAUCCAGUAUCAGUGUCACGAAUUAGGAAUCACGAUCCAUACCCGCAGUGCAAGUACUUGAAAAUAUCGAGGCUUUCAGUUUCAAGUGAUUGCAUAUAUUGGACCCUGUUUUCAGCACUAAGCCCAGAUUGCAUGAUUUUUUUUGUUCAUGAUCAUGAGAUUAUACAAUUCAUCUGGGCUUUGUGGCCCAUAUAACUAUGACUACACUUAUCAUUGGACUCGGUGAAUUUAAGCUUGUUUUAGAGGCUUUAUUAUUAUUUAUUUUUUUAAUUUUUUUAGGCUUUUUAUGUCUCUGUUAACUUGGAUCGACUCUUUCAUUGAGAUUGGGGUCACGUCACCUAUCCGCGCUUGAGACACACAUUCUAGGGUUUCCAUCUUCCGCUAUAAAAGAGCGUGGAAAGCUUGUUGCCCUUCAAACACACAUCCUAGGGUUUCCAUCUCUCCGCUAUAAAAAGGCGCGGAAAGCUUGUUGCCGCAAAUCUAUUGUCGAUUUCCGCCAGGGACCAUCUCCCAUUUGUUACGACUAAAAUCAAGCCUAAAUUGACAGAUACCGCAGUAGCAUUCCUGUUAAGUUUGCUGUGGAAGGCUUCAGAGCAAGGAAACUUAAAUCGUCAAUGGUAUCUCAUUGUGACUCCAUUAGUUGCUCCUAAUAUUUAACUAGUUCUUGUCUGCAAGGUUAAAGCCUCAAAUCUGCAUUAACAAUUUCUGAUAGAAUGAUAUUUUGAAUCUUGGAUAGGCACCACGCAGCAUGUAACAUAUUCCCCCAUGCAUAACUUGAUGACUUUUAGGCUCUGUUUCAAUCAUGGAUUUCAGCCUGCUUGAUGUUAAUAGUCAUCAUAGUUAUAAUUUAUUAAAUUCAUUUUUGUACUGAUAUCUCUUUCUCAUUAUAAUUACCCGGACUUGAAUCUCAUGAUCCCAACAGCACUCAGAUACAUUUCCAUAACCAGAAAAAAGAAUCUGAAUGUUUUUAUCUUAACAAGCUCAAGCUCAAGCUCCACAGACCCUCUUCUGGCUUUCAAUCGAUAAGCAAAUCCGCAAUAUUAUUACUUGUGUUCUUUUUUAUUCAGCUCUCGUUAUGCUUCUUAAUUAAGUCACGUUGUCUUUAUUUAUUAGUGCAGAUAAUCUUCGUGCGGGAAGUUGCUUGGAGUACAUCAGAAAAUCUUGCAAGGUAUAGGUCUGUUUCCUACUACGAGCUUGUGAAAAGAUUUUCUUAGUCAUGACACAAUGAAAGUAUGUAUCAUAUCUUGUGAUUUUUCUAGCAUGACACAAACCAAGUUAGUUUACCUUCACUUCUUGAAUACUUAAACUUGUUAAUCUUGAUUAUGUUGAGGCCCUUGUCAGGACCUACUUUAAUGGCAUAUCAUUCUAUCCUUUAAGAAAAUAGAAAAAUCAUGUUUUCCACUAUGCAAAAGUGAUAGAACUGAGAAGAGAAGUACUUGAUGCAGCACUGCAUCUAAAUAUAUUAUUAUCAUGGAAGUAUGACUAUAAGCACUAUAAUUAGUUCUGUAACUGUCAGUGUGGGGGUUUGAGAGAGACUUCUCUUUGUUUCUGAUUAGGAAGGCAACGAUAACUACUGUAAUGAUUAUAUACUAAUUCAAAGGCCACGUACACUUACAUUCAUCAUUAUUGAAGUGGAUGUGCCCAACCAAUCUUGUUUCCGUAUGAAUGGCUUGAAAACUAUGAUUUCGUAUGAACAGAUUAGAUGAGGUUCAGACAUGGUGUUUGACAGACGUCACAGACCCUGAGAUUGUAUUUGUAGUUCCCCCUUGCUAAGGUAUUUCAGGAACCAUUAUGUACUGAGAAACAUGUCGUAGAAGUCUUAUAUGAUGAUUCACGGUGCAGCAUCAAUAAAUUUGCUGAAACCAUCCUCGGUCACAAGUCAUAAACAGAGAUCAGUUAACAUAAAUUCGUUGGCACUUAAUGCACCGAGUAUAUUCCCAGAGGAAGAGGGAAUGCAGAUCCUUUAUAAGGUCUGGCCCAGUCUACCAACAAAACUAAGCACUAAACACACUGAAUGUUUACCAGAAAACAUCUUAAAACUUAACUGAAUUAGUAGCAUAGUGUAUCAGAAGUAACUUAGUAAUGGAAAAAGUGUUUAAGAAAUCAUCACUCAGAUAGGAUAUCUUAAAAUUCUGAACACACCUCAAACAAAUAGAUGCAUCACCCAUUUUUUAGCAUCUACAUCACCUCUAUGAACUGAAAGUACAGAAGUCUAACAUUACAUAUGUAUUAUGCUUUUAUAUUAUCCAUUACAAAUUCUUCUUAAUAACUCUCUGGUAAUCUUCUUAACUAGAAAAAAGAUCGUUUGGAUGGUGCUCGUCCCACAGCUUUCAUCAGGUUUGCUAUUUCGUAAACCUUGGCCACUUUUGUUCCUCUUCUCGCCUCUGCGGAUGCUCUCCUUUCCUCUGCUUUUCUAUGUGCUUUUGCUGUAUCAUUCUGCAUCUUUUCCAGGGCUCUUGCUCUUUUCUCCUCUAGCUUUCUCUUCAGGAAUAAAUAGAGAAUAGCAUAAGCUUUAGGUUCUCAGAAAGAUGAUAAUGAAUACUCAUAAUACCAAAAAAUCAAUAUAUGAGACACUUGAUUAAUUUCAUGGUUUGUACUGCAGAUUCGAACAACAAAAAGACCAGUCUAUUAGCUGAAGUGUUUGGCAAUUCAAAACCUAAGACUGAAAUUGAUUGGCCGGAAAGCUUAGCUCCUCUAAAACACAAGAACACAAAUUCAGCCAAAACAAACAAUACAAUCCGGGUAAAACUUAUGAGCUAGGUUUCCAAAGACAAGUACCUCAAUUUUCUUCAUCCAAGAAGUGGAUUUCUGAAUCUGCUCAUUCUCCCAUCCAUUAAUAAUCGCAUCUUCGCGCUUAAACCUAUUAUUAAUCUUGGCAAUCUUAGCAUUUUGCCAUGCACUUAUCUUGGUCUCCACCUCCUCUUUCUUCACCCUCUGUACCGACACUUCACUAUGACUAUUACUCAUGGAAGAAGAAGCACCAGCAAUAGCACUACCACUCCCACUCUGCCGCCUAGGAGACGCCAUAGGAUUAGUAUCUGGCACAAUAGCCAAAGGGUUCGUCUCAUCCUCCUCCCCGAUCAUCCCCAAGUUAUAAUUUCCAUUAUUCCCACCACCAUGAUCACUCUCACUCCGGUUAUUCUCCACA